rnacentral:rRNA from 1 species
UACGUAGGGUGCAAGCGUUGUCCGAAUUAUUGGGCGUAAAGAGCUCGUAGGCGGUCUGUCGCGUCUGCUGUGAAAACUCAGGGCUUAACCCUGAGCUUGCAGUGGGUACGGGCAGACUAGAGUGCGGUAGGGGAGACUGGAAUUCCUGGUGUAGCGGUGAAAUGCGCAGAUAUCAGGAGGAACACCGGUGGCGAAGGCGGGUCUCUGGGCCGUAACUGACGCUGAGGAGCGAAAGCAUGGGGAGCGAACAGG